CACCUCUCAGGGUCUCACCUGAAGAGUGUCCAGUACUCUACCAGUCUCGACUACAGGAGGGCAUGUCAGACAGAGGCCUAACCAUUCCAUUCCUGGCUUGGACAGUGGCUAGCGAGCGGAAGGCAAUCUGCUACAAGU